rnacentral:misc_RNA from 1 species
GAUUGAAGAACGUAGCGAAAUGCGAUACUUGGUGUGAAUUGCAGAAUCCCGUGAACCAUCGAGUCUUUGAACGCAAGUUGCGCCCGAAGCCACUAGGCCGAGGGCACGCCUGCCUGGGCGUCACACGCCGUUGCCCCCCCAUCUACUCCUUCGGGAUUGCGGGGGGGCGGAUGAUGGCCUCCCGUGCGCCUAGCCGCGCGGUUGGCAUAAAUACCAAGUCCUCGGCGACGCACGCCACGACAAUCGGUGGUUGCGAAACCUCGGUUGCCCGUCGUGUGCGUUCGUCGCGCAUCGAGGGCUCGAAAAAAUGCUCGGCUCCGGCUGGGCUUUCAACGCGACCCCAGGUCAGGCGGGGUUACCCGCUGAAUUUAAGCAUAUCAAUAAGCGGAGGA